rnacentral:misc_RNA from 1 species
CUAUGGAGCCAGGAAUGUUUGCAGAGUUGCGUGCCAAUAGUUCGGGAAUUAAUGUGAGGAAUACCAAGUUAGAAUGUAAGUAGGGCGGAAUGACAACAAAUAAAACUAAGCUUAGAAAAUGAAAGUGGAUAUAAAAGUGAUGAAAACAGAACCGAACCGAGGAAGGGUAGAGCAAUGAACAAACUGAAAAUCAAGAAUUCCAGUGUCCAACACCUCUUCGAAGAA